GUGCCAGCCGCCGCGGUAAUACCGGCAGCUCGAGUGAUGUCCCAUAUUAUUGGGCCUAAAGCGUCCGUAGCUGGCCGAGCAAGUCUCUCGGGAAAUCCACCCGCCCAACGGGUGGGCGUCCGGUAGAAACUGUCUGGCUUGGAACCGGAAGGCUCAGAGAGUACGUCCGGGGUAGGAGUGAAAUCCCGUAAUCCCGGACGGACGACCGAUGGCGAAAGCACUCUGAGAAGACGGCUUCGACAGUGAGGGACGAAAGCUCGGGUCUCAAACCGGAUUAGAAACCCGAGUAGUCC
rnacentral:rRNA from 1 species